GAUUGAAUAAUAUCUGAUGAUAUUCACACACACAUAGAGCCUUCAGGGACCCUGUAGUUCUUUGUUUUAAGCGGUGAUCAUAGGCGUGCGCAGCCUAUUGCAUUAGGGUGUGCACCCUAAAGCACAAGCCGCAUAUAUAUAUAUACACACACAUAUACACACACUGCUGUGUGUGUGUGUGCUGUGUGAGGGUGCUGUUAGUGUGAUGUGUGUGUGACGAUGCUGGUAGUGUGCUAUGUGGGUGAGGGUGUUUGUGUGUGCGUGCUUGUGAGAAUGCUGUUAAUGUACUGUGUGUGAGGGUGCUGUUUGUGUGUGUGUGUGCGCUUGUGAGGGUGCUGUUAAUGUACUGUGUGUGAGGGUGCUGUUUGUGUGUGAGGGUACUGGUAGUGUGCUGUGUGUGUGUUUGUUAGGGUCCUGUUUGUGUUUGUGAGGGUACUGUUAGUGUGCUGUGUGUGUGUGAGGGUGCUGUUUGUGUGCUGUGUGUGAGGGUGCUGUGUGUGUUUGUGAGGGUGCUGUAUGUGUGUGUGGGUGCUGUAUGUGUGUGUGGGUGCUGUGUAUGUCUGUGGGUGCUGUGUAUGUCUGUGGGUGCUGUAUGUGUGUGGGUGCUGAAUGUAUGUUGGUGCUGAAUGUGCGUGGGUGCUGUUUAUGUCUGUGGGUGCUGUAUGUCUGUGGGUGCUGUAUGUCUGUGGGUGCUGUGUAUGUCUGUGGGUGCUGUGUGUCUGUGGGUGCUGGAUGUCUGUGGGUUCUGUGUAUGUCUGUGGGUGCUGUAUGUGUGUGGGUGCUGUGUAUGUCUGUGGGUGCUGAAUGUAUGUGGGUGCUGAAUGUGUGUGGGUGCUGUGUAUGUCUGUGG